GCACGCCGGGCUGGUUAUAGAACAAAACAAUUGAUUGAAUAUUGAAGGCAAUCACACGGUUUGGCGAGGGAGUAGCACCAAAGAAGAGUUGUCCCAGAUGAGCUUGCUCCUCGUGUGAGUUAGGAACAGAAGCAGGCAUUGCCCGCUCACCCACAAGCCAGAUUUGGGUCUUGCAAAGGUCUCCAGCCCUGGUGAUGAUGUCUGAUGAUGUCUGUAUUGACCUGCGUGGUAACGAGCAGGAGCCUAGAGGAAUCUCCGAUCUACAUGAUGCACCAGCUGCAGGCUCCAGAGGGUGAAGCCCGCUGGAGGUGUCACACUCCCACCCAGGGGACCUGGGGAAGGACGAUGUGUGUGAGGACCCCCCUGUCUCGCCCUGUGCCUUGCCGAUGGCACAGCGGACGUUGCCUCCCUGCGCAGCACGCAGCGGCAAUUUUCGGCAAAGGCACGUAGGA